rnacentral:rRNA from 1 species
GAGCGGGGAAGUGUAGCUUGCUACAUUACCUAGCGGCGGACGGGUGAGUAAUGCUUAGGAAUCUGCCUAUUAGUGGGGGACAACAUUCCGAAAGGAAUGCUAAUACCGCAUACGUCCUACGGGAGAAAGCAGGGGAUCUUCGGACCUUGCGCUAAUAGAUGAGCCUAAGUCGGAUUAGCUAGUUGGUGGGGUAAAGGCCUACCAAGGCGACGAUCUGUAGCGGGUCUGAGAGGAUGAUCCGCCACACUGGGACUGAGACACGGCCCAGACUCCUACGGGAGGCAGCAGUGGGGAAUAUUGGACAAUGGGCGGAAGCCUGAUCCAGCCAUGCCGCGUGUGUGAAGAAGGCCUUAUGGUUGUAAAGCACUUUAAGCGAGGAGGAGGCUACUCUAGUUAAUACCUAGAGAUAGUGGACGUUACUCGCAGAAUAAGCACCGGCUAACUCUGUGCCAGCAGCCGCGGUAAUACAGAGGGUGCGAGCGUUAAUCGGAUUUACUGGGCGUAAAGCGUGCGUAGGCGGCUGAUUAAGUCGGAUGUGAAAUCCCUGAGCUUAACUUAGGAAUUGCAUUCGAUACUGGUCAGCUAGAGUAUGGGAGAGGAUGGUAGAAUUCCAGGUGUAGCGGUGAAAUGCGUAGAGAUCUGGAGGAAUACCGAUGGCGAAGGCAGCCAUCUGGCCUAAUACUGACGCUGAGGUACGAAAGCAUGGGGAGCAAACAGGAUUAGAUACCCUGGUAGUCCAUGCCGUAAACGAUGUCUACUAGCCGUUGGGGCCUUUGAGGCUUUAGUGGCGCAGCUAACGCGAUAAGUAGACCGCCUGGGGAGUACGGUCGCAAGACUAAAACUCAAAUGAAUUGACGGGGGCCCGCACAAGCGGUGGAGCAUGUGGUUUAAUUCGAUGCAA